rnacentral:misc_RNA from 1 species
UUUCCGUAGGUGAACCUGCGGAAGGAUCAUUAUCGAAUUUCGAGGGGAAUGAAGAUGAGGAGUGGAUACUGUCUCUUGCUUUCCCGCCUGGGAAGCAUGUGCACGCCUUGCUUUUCGUUGACCUUUCUCUUACUCUCACACCUGUGCACCCAUUGUAUGUCCUCGAAAUAGGAUCUAUGUUUUUAUCAUCACACUCAUCGUAUGUCCGUAUAAUGUACCAUGACCGUCGAUCGACCUCGCGGUCGCGUGGCGGUCUAAAUAAAUAAAUACAACUUUCAGCAACGGAUCUCUUGGCUCUC